rnacentral:lncRNA from 11 species
ACCCAAAGUUUCAACCCCUUUUCAAUACCCCAAUUCCAGCCUUUUUACCUGUCUGGAAGUUCAGAGAAGGGGGGAGAGAGAAAGAGAGCAGCGGCUCGCGCGCCUCCCGCCUCGAGAUUCCAAAGAGGCGCUCCUGGCUUGGGAUUGGCUGCGACGCGCUGUGGGGGGGGGGGGCGUGCCUUUCGCCACUCUCUCAGACUCCGCGGAACAGCAGCCGGGAGAGAGGGAGCGAGCAAGCAAGCAGCGAAAGCCCCUCUUUGGGCGGACGGGUAGGGGCGCGUGCUUGUGCGCGAGGAGCACACAGACACAAACGCAGGCGCGCGCACACCUUCCCGUCUCGCGCGCGGGUCGGAUACCUCAAAACUUCUGUGGAAGGAAGAAGAAGGAGCCAUGCGGCGCUGAGGAAGGAGGGAGCCUGAAUGAGCGCCUGCGGAGAAAACAAGGAGAAGGGGAGAGAGGCCGGGCGGGAUGGCGAGGGCGGUGGAGAGAGGGGCAGAAGCAGUUGCCAGGCCCUGACGAGGCCCUGGGGCCCCUUCGCCCUCCAGCAGCAGCACUUUUCCUGAGGGGAGGAGGUCGCGCAGCAGCAGCAGCAGCCAUGGACAGCUGCUGCUUCUUCGUCGAGGGAGCACGGGUUUGGUUGCGAGAAAACAGCCAACAUUAUCCAAGUACUGUACUUUCCUGUGCAGAGGGAGUUGUUGUGUUCAGGACGGAUUAUGGUCAGGUAAAUAUAUCACUUCUAAACACUUUUAAGUUCCUGUCGUGGCAUCAUCCAUCAUGGCAAAUAUAUAUGUUGCGAUAUUGGUUUUCAGUAGGAGGUCAGUUUGAAAUUUGUAUUCUCACACUUCUGUGUUGUAAUAGAACAACGAGUUCUCUAUGAAAAAGAUUAAUUCAAGGCUUUUGUAACUCUGAAAUGUUCAGAAAUGAGCCUCCUGUUGUAUCUCUGCAUGCUCUAGUUGUUCUGAACUGACUUUAUUCUACUUCUUCUGUAUCAAAUGAUAUUAGUUCACUCAGUCACUUCUACUGUAGACAAAUUAUCUGCCUUUAGAAGAGGCUACCUGCUCUGCUUUUUAUGGGUCACUGCUGUGAGAUCGUCUCUUCUCAGUCAGAAGCAGUGAUCCCUACACUUUUACACCUUCAAAUGUGUAUUCUAUCUUCCAAUUUCAGUUCAGGCUUUACUAUAAGAAUUUAUCCCAUAUGAUUCUAAUGUCUGUGCUUUAGUUGUCUUUUGAGAAAGCUGAUCCUGUAAAUCAGAGUUUCUCAAACUGUGUUUCUCCAGUCGUUUUGGACCUCAG